GGACUAUUUAAUAAUAAGGAAAAUAAGUGCAUUUGAAGCCAAUCUCUCUUAAUUCAAAGCUCAUUUCCAUAGUGACCCAUUUGGAUCAGGAGUGCCUGACAUUCGCAUCUGGGAUCCUGACACCAUUGAUAGAAAACAGCCCUCAUGCUUGCUGUGCACUAUGACUCACCGGGUAUUGUCAACAUCCUUCUUAAGCAAAAUAUUAAUGUCUUUACUCAAGACAUGUAUGGACAAGAUGCAGAAGAUUACGCUAUUUCUUGCCGUUUGACAAAAAUUCAACAACAAAUUUUGGAACAUAAAAAGAUGAUACUUAAAAAUGACAAACCAGCAACUCGUGGCAGCCAUUGAUGUUUACUCUGUCUUCAUAGUUUUACUUUUUUCAGAAGAGUCACAUAGUUGGAAUAAUACUGUGGAUAUAUUUUUGAAUAUUAAGAAAAUUAAAGCUCCAUGGCAAUUGAAGGACCUCCUGCAAAACAUCCUUCCUUGAAGCCUAGCACUGAAAUGGAAGAUCCUGCUGUGAAAGGAGCAGUACAAAGAAAGAAUGUACAGACAUUGAGAGCAGAAAAAGCCUUACCAGUGGCUUCAGAGGAAGAGCAACAAAGGCGUGAAAGAAGUGAAAAGAAGCAACCACAGCUAAUUUUAGAACAUGCACUCUGACAGAAAAGACAUCUGAGAAACAAAACAAGCAAAUUUGUUUUCCUUUUUGCACCUGCCAAAAAAAAAAAAAGAAAAGCCUCAAGAACCAGAACUGG
rnacentral:lncRNA from 1 species